GAGUCUGAAUCAGCUUGUGUGUUAGUGGAACGGUCUGGAAAGUCCGACGGUACAGGGUGAUAGUCCCGUACACGAAAGCACACUGCUGUGAACUCGAAGAGUAGGGCGGGACACGUGGUAUCCUGUCUGAAUAUGGGGGGACCAUCCUCCAAGGCUAAAUACUCCUGACUGACCGAUAGUGAACCAGUACCGUGAGGGAAAGGCGAAAAGAACCCCGGCGAGGGGAGUGAAAAAGAACCUGAAACCGUGUACGUACAAGCAGUGGGAGCCUCUUUAUGGGGUGACUGCGUACCUUUUGUAUAAUGGGUCAGCGACUUAUAUUCUGUAGCAAGGUUAACCGUAUAGGGGAGCCGAAGGGAAACCGAGUCUUAACUGGGCGUUAAGUUGCAGGGUAUAGACCCGAAACCCGGUGAUCUAGCCAUGGGCAGGUUGAAGGUUGGGUAACACUAACUGGAGGACCGAACCGACUAAUGUUGAAAAAUUAGCGGAUGACCUGUGGCUGGGGGUGAAAGGCCAAUCAAACCGGGAGAUAGCUGGUUCUCCCCGAAAGCUAUUUAGGUAGCGCCUCGUGAACUCAUCUUCGGGGGUAGAGCACUGUUUCGGCUAGGGGGCCAUCCCGGCUUACCAAC
rnacentral:rRNA from 1 species